GACGAACGCUGGCGGCAGGCUUAACACAUGCAAGUCGAACGCCCCGCAAGGGGAGUGGCAGACGGGUGAGUAACGCGUGGGAAUCUACCCAGAUCUUCGGAACAACACAGGGAAACUUGUGCUAAUACCGGAUACGCCCUACGGGGGAAAGAUUUAUCGGUUCUGGGUGAGCCCGCGUUGGAUUAGCUAGUUGGUGAGGUAAUGGCUCACCAAGGCGACGAUCCAUAGCUGGUCUGAGAGGAUGAUCAGCCACACUGGGACUGAGACACGGCCCAGACUCCUACGGGAGGCAGCAGUGGGGAAUAUUGGACAAUGGGCGAAAGCCUGAUCCAGCCAUGCCGCGUGAGUGAUGAAGGCCUUAGGGUUGUAAAGCUCUUUUAGUGGGGAAGAUAAUGACGGUACCCACAGAAAAAGCCCCGGCUAACUUCGUGCCAGCCGCCGCCGUAAUAC
rnacentral:rRNA from 1 species